GACGGUACUUGAUGAAUAAGCCACGGCCAAUUCCGUGCCAGCAGCCGCGGUAAUACGGGAGUGGCAAGCGUUAUCCGGAAUUAUUGGGCGUAAAGCGUCCGCAGGCGGUCUUACAAGUCUGUCGUUAAAGCGUGGAGCUUAACUCCAUUUCGGCGAUGGAAACUGUAAGGCUAGAGUGUGGUAGGGGCAGAGGGAAUUCCCGGUGUAGCGGUGAAAUGCGUAGAUAUCGGGAAGAACACCAGUGGCGAAGGCGCUCUGCUGGGCCAUAACUGACGCUCAUGGACGAAAGCUAGGGGAGCGAAAGGGAUUAGAUACCCCUGUAGUCCUAGCCGUAAACGAUGAACACUAGGUGUCGGGGGAAUCGACCCCCUCGGUGUCGUAGCCAACGCGUUAAGCGUUCCGCCUGGGGAGUACGCACGCAAGUGUGAAACUCGAAGGAAUUGACGGGGGCCCGCACAAGCGGUGGAGUAUGUGGUUUAAUUCGAUGCAACGCGAAGAACCUUACCAGGGUUUGACAUCCUGCGAAUCCCUUGGAAACUUGGGAGUGCCUUCGGGAGCGCAGUGACAGGUGGUGCAUGGCUGUCGUCAGCUCGUGUCGUGAGAUGUUGGGUUAAGUCCCGCAACGAGCGCAACCCACGUCUUUAGUUGCCAGCAUUCAGUUGGGCACUCUAGAUAGACCGCCGGUGAUAAACCGGAGGAAGGUGUGGAUGACGUCGAGUCAUCAUGCCCCUUACAUCCUGGGCUACACACGUACUACAAUGCUACGGACAAAGGGCAGCAAACUCGCGAGAGCUAGCCAAUCCCAUAAACCGUGGAUCAGUUCAGAUCGUAGGCUGCAACUCGCCUACGUGAAGGAGGAAUCGCUAGUAAUCGCAGGUCAGCAUACUGCGGUGAAUACGUUCCCGGGCCUUGUACACACCGCCCGUCACACCAUGGAAGUUGGCCACGCCCGAAGUCGUUACUCCAACCCUUGUGGAGGAGGAUGC
rnacentral:rRNA from 1 species